rnacentral:misc_RNA from 1 species
GAUGAAGAACGCAGCGAAAUGCGAUAAGUAAUGUGAAUUGCAGAAUUCAGAGAAUCAUCGAAUCUUUGAACGCACAUUGCGCCCGCCAGUAUUCUGGCGGGCAUGCCUGUUCGAGCGUCAUUACAACCCUCAGGCCCCCGGGCCUGGCGUUGGGGAUCGGCGGAGCCCCCCGUGGGCACACGCCGUCCCCCAAAUACAGUGGCGGUCCCGCCGCAGCUUCCAUCGCGUAGUAGCUAACACCUCGCGACUGGAGAGCGGCGCGGCCACGCCGUAAAACACCCAACUCUUCUGAAGUUGACCUCGAAUCAGGUAGGAAUACCCGCUGAACUUAAGCAUAUCAAUAAGCGGAGGA